AUUGAACGCUGGCGGCAUGCCUUACACAUGCAAGUCGAACGGCAGCACGGGAGCAAUCCUGGUGGCGAGUGGCGAACGGGUGAGUAAUAUAUCGGAACGUGCCCAGUCGUGGGGAUAACGUAGCGAAAGUUACGCUAAUACCGCAUACGAUCUAAGGAUGAAAGCGGGGGAUCGCAAGACCUCGCGCGAUUGGAGCGGCCGAUAUCAGAUUAGGUAGUUGGUGAGGUAAAGGCUCACCAAGCCGACGAUCUGUAGCUGGUCUGAGAGGACGACCAGCCACACUGGACUGAGACACGGCCCAGACUCCUACGGGAGCAGCAGUGGGGAAUUUUGGACAAAUGGGCGCAAGCCUGAUCCAGCAAUGCCGCGUGCAGGAUGAAGGCCUCGGUUGUAACUGACGUUUGUUACGGUAACGGAAACGGUAG
rnacentral:rRNA from 1 species